rnacentral:rRNA from 1 species
GACGAACGCUGGCGGCGUGCUUAACACAUGCAAGUCGAACGGAAAGGCCCUGCUUUUGUGGGGUGCUCGAGUGGCGAACGGGUGAGUAACACGUGAGUAACCUGCCCUUGACUUUGGGAUAACUUCAGGAAACUGGGGCUAAUACCGGAUAGGAGCUCCUGCUGCAUGGUGGGGGUUGGAAAGUUUCGGCGGUUGGGGAUGGACUCGCGGCUUAUCAGCUUGUUGGUGGGGUAGUGGCUUACCAAGGCUUUGACGGGUAGCCGGCCUGAGAGGGUGACCGGCCACAUUGGGACUGAGAUAAGGCCCAGACUCAUACGGGAGGCAGCAGUGGGGAAUAUUGCACAAAGGGCGGAAGGCUGAUGCAGCAACGCAGCGUGUGGGAUGACGGCCCUCGGGUUGUAAACCGCUUUCGCCUGUGACGAAGCGUGAGUGACGGUAAUGGGUAAAGAAGCACCGGCUAACUACGUG